GACGAACGCUGGCGGCGUGCUUAACACAUGCAAGUCGAACGGAAAGGCCCUGCUUUUGUGGGGUGCUCGAGUGGCGAACGGGUGAGUAACACGUGAGUAACCUGCCCUUGACUUUGGGAUAACUUCAGGAAACUGGGGCUAAUACCGGAUAGGAGCUCCUGCUGCAUGGUGGGGGUUGGAAAGUUUCGGCGGUUGGGGUUGGACUCGCGGCUUAUCAGCUUGUUGGUGGGGUAGUGGCUUACCAAGGCUUUGCCGGGUAGCCGGCCUGAGAGGGUGACCGGCCACAUUGGGACUGAGAUACGGCCCAGACUCCUACGGGAGGCAGCAGUGGGGAAUAUUGCACAAUGGGCGGAAGCCUGAUGCAGCAACGCCGCGUGCGGGAUGACGGCCUUCGGGUUGUAAACCGCUUUCGCCUGUGGCGAAGCGUGAGUGACGGUAAUGGGUAAAGAAGCACCGGCUAACUACGUG
rnacentral:rRNA from 1 species